rnacentral:rRNA from 1 species
CCUACGGGGGGCAGCAGUGAGGAAUAUUGGUCAAUGGCCGUAAGGCUGAACCAGCCAAGUCGCGUGAAGGAAGAAGGACCUAUGGUUUGUAAACUUCUUUUAUAGGGGAAUAAAGGUAUCCACGUGUGGCUAUUUGCAUGUACCCUAUGAAUAAGCAUCGGCUAACUCCGUGCCAGCAGCCGCGGUAAUACGGAGGAUGCGAGCGUUAUCCGGAUUUAUUGGGUUUAAAGGGUGCGUAGGUUGUUUUGUAAGUUAGCGGUGAAAGUUUGGGGCUCAACCCUAAAAUUGCCGUUGAAACUGGCAGACUUGAGUGUGCUUGAGGUAGGCGGAAUGCGUGGUGUAGCGGUGAAAUGCAUAGAUAUCACGCAGAACUCCGAUUGCGAAGGCAGCUUAC